GACAGAGGAUGCAAGCGUUAUCCGGAAUGAUUGGGCGUAAAGCGUCUGUAGGUGGCUUUUAAGUCCGCCGUCAAAUCCCAGGGCUUCAACCCUGGACAGGCGGUGGAAACUACCCAAGCUGGAGUACGGUGAAGGGGCAGAGGGAAUUUCCGGUGGAGCGGUGAAAUGCGUAGAGAUCGGAAAGAACACCAACGGCGAAAGCACUCUGCUGGGACCGACACUGACACUGAGAGACGAAAGCUAGGGGAGCGAAUGGG
rnacentral:rRNA from 1 species